rnacentral:rRNA from 1 species
GAUGAACGCUGGCGGCGUGCUUAACACAUGCAAGUCGAACGAGAAAUGUAGACGGAAACCUUCGGGCGGAAGCCUUCAUUUCGAGUGGCGGACGGGUGAGUAACGCGUGGGUAACCUGCCUCAUACAGGGGGAUAACAGUUGGAAACGACUGUUAAUACCGCAUAAGACCACAGCAUCGCAUGAUGCGGGGGUAAAAACUCCGGUGGUAUGAGAUGGACCCGCGUUCGAUUAGCCAGUUGGCGGGGUAACGGCACACCAAAGCGACGAUCGAUAGCCGAUCUGAGAGGAUGACCGGCCACAUUUGGACUGAGACACGGCCCAAACUCCUACGGGAGGCAGCAGUGGGGAAUAUUGCACAAUGGGGGAAACCCUGAUGCAGCGACGCCGCGUGAGUGAAGAAGUACUUCGGUAUGUAAAGCUCUAUCAGCAGGGAAGAAAAUGACGGUACCUGAGUAAGAAGCCCCGGCUAACUACGUG